GGGCGGUUAGCUCAGUUGGUAGAGCGCGUCUCUUACACAGACGAUGUCGCAGGUUCAAGUCCUGCACCGCCCA
rnacentral:tRNA from 1 species